rnacentral:rRNA from 1 species
AUACGGAGGGUGCAAGCGUUAAUCGGAAUUACUGGGCGUAAAGCGUACGUAGGCGGUUCGUUAAGUUAGAUGUGAAAGCCCCGGGCUUAACCUGGGAACUGCAUUUAAAACUGGCGGACUAGGGUUGAGUAGAGGGGAGUGGAAUUUCAGGUGUAGCGGUGAAAUGCGUAGAGAUCUGAAGGAACACCAGUGGCGAAGGCGACUCCCUGGACUCGAACUGACGCUGAGGUACGAAAGCGUGGGUAGCAAACGGGAUUAGAAACCCUUGUAGUCC